rnacentral:rRNA from 1 species
AGAGUUUGAUCAUGGCUCAGAAUCAACGCUGGCGGCGUGCCUAACACAUGCAAGUCGCACGAGAAAGGGUAGCAAUACCUGAGUACAGUGGCGCACGGGUGAGUAACACGUGAAUCAUCUACCUCCGAGUGGGGAAUAACCUAGAGAAAUCUGGGCUAAUACCGCAUAACACUUACGAGUCAAAGCAGCAAUGCGCUUGGAGAGGAGUUCGCGGCCGAUUAGUUAGUUGGCGGGGUAAUGGCCCACCAAGACGAUGAUCGGUAUCCGGCCUGAGAGGGCGCACGGACACACUGGAACUGAAACACGGUCCAGACUCCUACGGGAGGCAGCAGUGGGGAAUUUUGCGCAAUGGGGGAAACCCUGACGCAGCAACGCCGCGUGGAGGAUGAAAUCCCUUGGGAUGUAAACUCCUUUCGAUCGGGACGAUUAUGACGGUACCGGAAGAAGAAGCCCCGGCUAACUUCGUGCCAGCAGCCGCGGUAAUACGAGGGGGGCAAGCGUUGUUCGGAAUUAUUGGGCGUAAAGGGCGCGUAGGCGGUCUGACAAGUCUGAUGUGAAAUCUCUGGGCUCAACCCAGAGUCUGCAUUAGAAACUGUCGGGCUUGAGUAUGGGAGAGGUGAGUGGAAUUUCCGGUGUAGCGGUGAAAUGCGUAGAUAUCGGAAGGAACACCUGUGGCGAAAGCGGCUCACUGGACCAUAACUGACGCUGAGGCGCGAAAGCUAGGGGAGCAAACAGGAUUAGAUACCCUGGUAGUCCUAGCCCUAAACGAUGAUUGCUUGGUGUGACAGGUACCCAAUCCUGUCGUGCCGAAGCUAACGCGAUAAGCAAUCCGCCUGGGGAGUACGGUCGCAAGGCUGAAACUCAAAGGAAUUGACGGGGGCCCGCACAAGCGGUGGAGCAUGUGGUUUAAUUCGACGCAACGCGAAGAACCUUACCUGGGCUCGAAAUGUAGUGGAAUCCGGUAGAAAUAUCGGCGUCUAGCA